rnacentral:tRNA from 2 species
GGUGCCGUAGGCAAAUUGGUAAAGCCGUCGAUCUUUCAAGUCGAUGCUUGCGGGUUCAACUCGUCGGCACUGCCA